AACGAACGCUGGCGGCAUGCCUAACACAUGCAAGUCGAACGAGACCUUCGGGUCUAGUGGCGCACGGGUGCGUAACGCGUGGGAACCUGCCCUUAGGUUCGGAAUAACUCCCCGAAAGGGGUGCUAAUACCGGAUAAUGUCUUCGGACCAAAGAUUUAUCGCCUUUGGAUGGGCCCGCGUUGGAUUAGCUAGUUGGUAGGGUAAAAGCCUACCAAGGCGACGAUCCAUAGCUGGUCUGAGAGGAUGAUCAGCCACACUGGGACUGAGACACGGCCCAGACUGUAACGAGGGGAGGACGGGGAGAGGCGGGGACAGUGGGGAAAAGUGUAGGAUGGCAAGGCGGUGGGAGGGAGGAAGGCUUGAGGGUUAUAAAGAUCUUUGACCCGGGAAGAAACUGACAGUACGGGGAAAAUAGGCUCCGGCUAACCCCGCGACAGCGGCGGAGGUAAUAGAGCGGAAGAACACACACCUGAAC
rnacentral:rRNA from 1 species